UACGAAGGGGGCUAGCGUUGUUCGGAUUUACUGGGCGUAAAGCGCACGUAGGCGGAUCGUUAAGUCGGGGGUGAAAUCCUGGAGCUCAACUCCAGAACUGCCUUCGAUACUGGCGAUCUUGAGUCCGGAAGAGGUGAGUGGAACUCCUAGUGUAGAGGUGGAAUUCGUAGAUAUUCGGAGGAACACCAGUGGCGAAGGCGGCUCACUGGUCCGGUACUGACGCUGAGGUGCGAAAGCGUGGGGAGCAAACAGG
rnacentral:rRNA from 1 species